ensembl:lncRNA
UCUUGGGGUCAUCAUCUUCAUGGGGUCAUCUUUUUGGGGUCACCAUCUUUUUUUGGGGUCAUCUUCUUGGGGUCAUCCUCUUUUUGUAGUCACCAUCUUCUUGGGAUCACCAUCUUUGGGGUCAUCUUCUUGGGGUCACCCUCUUUUCUUUGGGGUCGUCCUCUUUUUGUGGUCGCCGUCUUUUGGGGUCAUCUUGGGAUCACCGUCUUUGGGGUCAUCAUCUUCUUGGGGUCACCAUCUUCUUGGGGUCAUCUUUUGGGGUCAUCCUCUUUUUGAGGUCACCAUCUUGGGGUCACUCUCUCCUUGGGGUCGUCAGCUUUUUGGGGUCAUCACCAUCUUUGGGGUUGUCACCUUCUGGAGAUCAUUAUCUUCUUGGGGUCAACUUUUUGGGGUCAUCGCCUUUUUGGGGUCACCAUCUUUGGGGUCAUCACCUUCUUGGGGUCUUCCUCUUCUUGGCUCAUCUUCUUGGGGUCGCCAUCUUUUGGGGGCCACCAUCAUGGGGUCAUCCUCUUCUUGGGGUUGUCACCUUUCUGAGGUCAUCGUCUUUUUGGGGUCGCCACCUUUUGGGGUCACCUUGGGUUUAAUUGCCAUUUGUCAUCUUCCUAAUUAAAAAAACCAAAAAAACAAAACAAAGCAGCACCCAGUGAGCCCAAGUUCCAUUUCCUGCGGUCCCAAAAUGGGACAGUGGGAACCGUGGGGACGCUUGGGGACAUUGGGGACGUUUGGGGCACAGAGGGGACAAUGGGGACAGAGGGGACAGUGGGGACAUUUGGGGACAAUGGGACACAGAGGGGACAAUGGGGACAUUUGGGGACAGUAGGGGACAGUGGGGACAUUUGGGCCCAUGGGGACAUUUGGGGACAGUGGGGCACAGUGGGGAUAAUGGGGACAGAGGGGACAAUGGGGACAUAUGGGGACAGUGGGAACAAUGGGGACAUUAGGGGGACAGUGAGGACAUUAAGGGACAAUGGGGACAUUAAGGGACAGUGGGGACAUUAGGGGACAGCGGGGACGUUUGGGGACAGUGGGGACAAUGGGACACAGAGGGGACAUUUGGGGACAGUGGGGCCCAUGGGGACUAUGUGGGACAAUGGGGACAUCUAGGGACAGCGGAGCACAUAGCCC